GUCCUCGCGCAAGUCGGGGCCGCAAAUCCCGCCAGGUCCGGAAGGAAGCAACGGUAGUGGUUUUCGGCUGUGCAGCGAGAUCACC
rnacentral:SRP_RNA from 1 species